rnacentral:lncRNA from 1 species
UUUUUUCUUUCACCGAUCUUUCCACGUCUUCAAUAUGUUCAGAUGUUGAAGGGAUUUCAAACUCAAUUGGACUUGUACGGGGAGGUAUAUCUCGUUGUAUAGAGCUGAUAAUCGUUUCCAUGUGUGAUUUUUAGUCGGAUAAUUAAUUCUGCAUACUUUGAUUUUGUUCAUCAAUGUAAGAUUUGGCUGAGUUGAAACUGGUAUCCACAUAAGAUUGCAUGCUAUGGAAGUAGUCUUGUUGGCUUUGUUGCUGGUGUUCAAAAAAUUGUUUUUGAUUGUCAAGAAUCUUUUGGUAG